CCUGGUAGUCCACGCCCUAAACGAUGUCUACUAGUUGUCGGGUCUUAAUUGACUUGGUAACGCAGCUAACGCGUGAAGUAGACCGCCUGGGGAGUACGGUCGCAAGAUUAAAACUCAAAGGAAUUGACGGGGACCCGCACAAGCGGUGGAUGAUGUGGAUUAAUUCGAUGCAACGCGAAAAACCUUACCUACCCUUGACAUGGCUGGAAUCCUCGAGAGAUUGAGGAGUGCUCGAAAGAGAACCAGUACACAGGUGCUGCAUGGCUGUCGUCAGCUCGUGUCGUGAGAUGUUGGGUUAAGUCCCGCAACGAGCGCAACCCUUGUCAUUAGUUGCUACGAAAGGGCACUCUAAUGAGACUGCCGGUGACAAACCGGAGGAAGGUGGGGAUGACGUCAAGUCCUCAUGGCCCUUAUGGGUAGGGCUUCACACGUCAUACAAUGGUACAUACAGAGCGCCGCCAACCCGCGAGGGGGAGCUAAUCGCAGAAAGUGUAUCGUAGUCCGGAUUGUAGUCUGCAACUCGACUGCAUGAAGUUGGAAUCGCUAGUAAUCGCGGAUCAGCNNNNNGGGGUGAAUACGUUCCCGGGCCUNGACACACC
rnacentral:rRNA from 1 species